UCCCUGUACCUGUAGGAACAAAUGCUGCAUAAAUCAUAGCAGCUGGAAAGUGCAAUGUGCCUAAAGAAGGUGAAGAGAGUCUUCAAAACGCAAAGCAAAAGAGUGGACCCACAGGAUAACCAAACAGAAGAGGCUGGCCCAAGCCAGUUUAUUUCAUCUGCUAAUGAAGUGAGGGGUGGUUUUCUUCUGAAGACAUUACCACUCCAUCAGGUAAAAUUUAAGUCCACAGAUGAUUCUGAUCCACCUGGGAGCCAAACCUUCACCUGCCCAGUGAUGACUUGACCAAACUUCUUCAACAGUCACUCAUCCAAAUCCACCAGCUGAGAGCCACAGCACAAAGGAUCCCUUUGUAACCAAGUAUUUUAUAUGAAUGCAAAUAAAAAUGAUUUU